UGUAAGCGUAUACCAAAGUUGUUGCAGUUAAAACGCUCGUAGUCGGACUUUGGCAGUUCCGGAUGUGUGCACGUCGUGUGCGCACUUCGCGGGGAUUGCUUUUGUGGUCUUGCGUAGGAUGAGGCACUUUUAUUAGUGAACGUCCUCACGCAACCACUUUUUACUGUGAGAAAAUCAGAGUGCUCAAAGCAGGCAUUUGCCGUGAAUGUAUUAGCAUGGGAUAAUAGAAUAGGACUUGGUUCUAUUUUGUUGGUUUGUUGGGACUGAGUAAUGAUUAAGAGGGACAGUUGGGGGCAUUUGUAUUUCGGUGCUAGAGGUGAAAUUCUUAGAUUACCGAAAGACAAACUGCUGCGAAAGCGUCUGCCAAGGAUGUUUUCAUUGA
rnacentral:rRNA from 1 species